rnacentral:rRNA from 1 species
CCUACGGGAGGCAGCAGUGAGGAAUAUUGGUCAAUGGGAGAGAUCCUGAACCAGCCAAGCCGCGUGAGGGAAGACGGCCCUAUGGGUUGUAAACCUCUUUUGUCGGAGAACAAAACCCGGGACGUGUACCGGACUGCGUGUAUCCGAAGAAAACGCAUCGGGAAACUCCGUGCCUGCAGCCGCGGUAAUACGGAGGAUGCGAGCGUGAUCCGGAUUUAUUGGGUGUAAGGGUUGCGUAGGCGGUCCGUUAAGUCAGCGGUAAAAUUGCGGGGCUCAACCCCGUCGAGCCGUUGAAACUGGCAGACUUGAGUAGGCGAGAAGGACGCGGAAUGCGCGGUGUAGCGGUGAAAUGCGUAGAUAUCGCGCAGAA